GACGAACGCUGGCGGCGUGCUUAACACAUGCAAGUCGAACGGAAAGGCCCUGCUUUUGUUGGUUGCUCGAUUGGCGAACGGGGGAGUAACACGUGAGUAACCUGCCCUUGACUUUGGGAUAACUUCAGGAAACUGGGGCUAAUACCGGAUAGGAGCUCCUGCUGCAUGGGGGGGGUUGGAAAGUUUCGGCUGUUGGGGAUGGACUCGCGGCUUAUCAGCUUGUUGGUGGGGUAGUUGCUUACCAAGGCUUUGACGGGUAGCCGGCCUGAGAGGGUGACCGGCCACCUUGGGACUGAGAUACGGACCAGUCUCCUACGGGCGGCAGUGGUCGGGAAUAUUGCACAACGGGCCGAAGCCUGAUGCAGAAACCCCCGGUGCGGGAUGCCGGCCUUCGGGUUGUAAACCGCUUUCGACUGUGCCGAAGCGUGAGUGACGGUAAUGGGUAAAGAAGCAACGGCUAACUACGUG
rnacentral:rRNA from 1 species